CGUAGGAGGCAAGCGUUGUCCGGAUUUACUGGGCGUAAAGCGUUCGUAGGCGGUUUGGUAAGCGCGCCGUGAAAGCGCCUGGCUCAACUGGGCGAGGUCGGUGCGAACUGCCAGACUGGAGGGUCGGCGAGGCAGACGGAAUUCCCGGAGGAGCGGUAACAUGCGUAGAGAUCGGGAGGAACACCUGUGGCGAAAGCGGUCUGCUGGACGAUGCCUGACGCUGAGGAACGAAAGCGUGGGGAGCGAACUGAAUUAGAUACUCAGGUAGUCCACGCCCUAAACGAUGAUGACUAGGUGUGGGGGGUAUCGACCCCUCCCGUGCCGGCACUAACGCAGUAAGUCAUCCGCCUGGGGAGUGCGGCCGCAAGGCUA
rnacentral:rRNA from 1 species